rnacentral:misc_RNA from 1 species
GAUGAAGAACGCAGCGAAAUGCGAUAAGUAAUGUGAAUUGCAGAAUUCAGUGAAUCAUCGAAUCUUUGAACGCACAUUGCGCCCGCCAGUAUUCUGGCGGGCAUGCCUGUCCGAGCGUCAUUUCAACCCUCGAACCCCUCCGGGGGGUCGGCGUUGGGGACCGGCCCUUUCACCGGGUGCCGGCCCCUAAAUACAGUGGCGGUCUCGCCGCAGCCUCUCAUGCGCAGUAGUUUGCACACUCGCACCGGGAGCGCGGCGCGUCCACGUCCGUAAAACACCCCAACUUCUGAAAUGUUGACCUCGGAUCAGGUAGGAAUACCCGCUGAACUUAAGCAUAUCAAUAAGCGGAGGA